rnacentral:rRNA from 1 species
AUUGAACGCUGGCGGCAGGCUUAACACAUGCAAGUCGAGCGGAGAGAGGUAGCUUGCUACCGAUCUUAGCGGCGGACGGGUGAGUAAUGCUUAGGAAUCUGCCUAUUAGUGGGGGACAACAUUUCGAAAGGAAUGCUAAUACCGCAUACGUCCUACGGGAGAAAGCAGGGGAUCUUCGGACCUUGCGCUAAUAGAUGAGCCUAAGUCGGAUUAGCUAGUUGGUGGGGUAAAGGCCUACCAAGGCGACGAUCUGUAGCGGGUCUGAGAGGAUGAUCCGCCAAACUGGGACUGAGACACGGCCCAGACUCCUACGGGAGGCAGCAGUGGGGAAUAUUGGACAAUGGGCGGAAGCCUGAUCCAGCCAUGCCGCGUGUGUGAAGAAGGCCUUUUGGUUGUAAAGCACUUUAAGCGAGGAGGAGGCUACCUGGAUUAAUACUCUAGGAUAGUGGACGUUACUCGCAGAAUAAGCACCGGCUAACUCUGUGCCAGCCGCCGCCGUAAGAC